rnacentral:misc_RNA from 1 species
AGUCGUAACAAGGUAACCGUAGGUGAACCUGCGGUUGGAUCAUUACAAAAAGAAGAGCUUUAGAGCUCGACUUUAUUCGGGGCUGCCUAAAAAACAGCUCUUGACACCCCUUGUGAACUGUGAAUGUCCCUGGCGGGUUGACUGCUUAACUGAGUCCCCGCCAGUUUAUAGCCAAACCCCUGUUUAAAAAAGUUUUGAUUAAAUGUAAAAAUUUGAAACAACUUUUGACAACGGAUCUCUUGGCUCUC